rnacentral:rRNA from 1 species
UAGGGAAUCUUCGGCAAUGGGCGAAACCCUGACGCAGCAAUACCGCGUGAGUGAAGAAGGUUUUCGGAUCGUAAAGCUCUGUUAUUGGGGAAGAAAAAAAGACGGUACCCAAGAAGAAAGUCCCGGCUAACUACGUGCCAGCAGCCGCGGUAAUACGUAGGGGACAAGCGUUGUCCGGAUUUACUGGGCGUAAAGGGCACGCAGGCGGUUUUUUAAGUCAGAUGUGAAAGGUACCGGCUCAACCGGUGACAUGCAUUUGAAACUGAAAGACUUGAGUAUUGGAGAGGCAAGUGGAAUUCCUAGUGUAGCGGUGAAAUGCGUAGAUAUUAGGAGGAACACCGGUGGCGAAGGCGGCUUGCUGGACAAAUACUGACGCUGAGGUGCGAAAGCGUGGGGAGCAAACA